rnacentral:rRNA from 1 species
GAUGAACGCUAGCGAUAGGCUUAACACAUGUAAGUCGAGGGGCAGCAUGGUCUUAGCUUGCUAAGACUGAUGGCGACCGGCGCACGGGUGCGUAACGCGUAUGCAACUUGCCUCACAGAGGGGGAUAACCCGUCGAAAGACGGACUAAUACCGCGUACACUCCAUCUUGGGCAUCCAAGGUAGAGGAAAUGAAAUUCGCUGUGAGAUAGGCAUGCGUCCCAUUAGCUAGUUGGUGAGGUAACGGCUCACCAAGGCGACGAUGGGUAGGGGAACUGAGAGGUUGAACCCCCACACUGGUACUGAGACACGGACCAGACUCCUACGGGAGGCAGCAGUGAGGAAUAUUGGUCAAUGGGCGAGAGCCUGAACCAGCCAAGUCGCGUGAAGGAUGACUGUCUUAUGGAUUGUAAACUUCUUUUAUACGGGAAUAACAAGAGUCACGUGUGACUCCCUGCAUGUACCGUAUGAAUAAGCAUCGGCUAACUCCGU